rnacentral:rRNA from 1 species
UACGUAGGGGGCGAGCGUUAUCCGGAAUUAUUGGGCGUAAAGCGCGCGCAGGCGGCCGAUUAAGUCAGGUGUGAAAGGCUGCGGCUCAACCGCAGAGCGGCACCUGAAACUGGUCGGCUUGAGUGCAGGAGAGGGGAGUGGAAUUCCCGGUGUAGCGGUGGAAUGCGUAGAGAUCGGGAGGAACACCGGUGGCGAAGGCGGCGCUCUGGCCUGUAACUGACGCUGAGGCGCGAAAGCGUGGGGAGCAAACAGG